UGCUCAGGAGAGAUGACACCCACAUCGAUCGGAUGGAUCGUAUUUGCUAGGCCAUAUGUAUCCAUCCGUUUGAAGUAGGUGUCAUCUCGCCUGAUCAUAGGCCUCACUUAACCUGUAAAAUAGAGUUUCAUCUUCAUCCUACUUGAUAGCAGCUUUACAGAAGAAGACCACAAGGAACACAAAGACGUGCGGCCUUACUUGAGUGCUGUCAUUUGCUACCGCAGGAAAAGGAAGCCAAGCAAAUCUAAUGAGCUCAGCAGCACUGCAGCAACGCCCAUUUCGGCUUUUUUGCACGCUCUGAAAUCUGAAUACGUUCAAGGUCAACCUCUUCUGAUUGCAACAAGGGAAGGUUGUUGGUCUGUUAGAUGUAACCAGCCGGCCGGGUAGUUUUGCAAUAUGUUCCGACUUCAACCUAGGUUGUUUUGUGGCUAGUCUUAAAAGAGAAACACUUCCCACUACCAUACGUUUCUUAGCUUGCUCAUUUUUCUAUUGCAGGGAAUUCUUUUUGCUGAGGUGAAGGCGGCAACAACGUAGAGCAGCAGUGCCGACGAAGGAGAUGUCAGAUCCGAGGUGCCAAUGGAAACAAGAAUAGGGAGGGUUAGGCCGCCUCGAGGUGGGGCCAACAGCGGCAGCGGUCACAGAGACAUCUGGUAGGAGGUGGUGAUGUAGUAGUGGGUGACUAGAGUUGAAGUGACUGAAGUAAAAAAAAAAUCAAAUAAAACUGUUAAUGGGGAACCCAUAAGAUUUCUUAAAUAUAUACAUCAAACAAUUUUUUCACCUUCAAGACAUUUUGAAUUGAAUUUCUCCAAAUCGGAGAAGGGGCGAGAGAAAAAACAAUGACAAGCCCAAAUAUGCAGAAGGUCACCUCAUGCCCAAAUAAGCAUGAAUGCAAGAUGAAUGAAGCCCAGGACACUGAUGGAUCAGGAAGCACCAGGUCAUGAGCCUUCAAGUGGGAGGCGAAUGCCAUUUAGUACAAGAAUAAGAAAGAGUCUGAACUCUGAACUAAAGGUAUGAGUUGAUAUGUAAUCUUUGCAGACUUGUUGAGGAAAAUAAUUACCAUGUCCAAUUGCUAAA